GAUGAACGCUGGCGGCGUGCCUAACACAUGCAGGUCGAACGAAGCAUCUUACCUGAUUCUUCGGAUGAAAGUUUGGUGACUGAGUGGCGGACGGGUGAGUAACGCGUGGGUAACCUGCCCUGUACAGGGGGAUAACAGCUGGAAACGGCUGCUAAUACCGCAUAAGCGCACGAGGAGACAUCUCCUUGUGUGAAAAACUCCGGUGGUACAGGAUGGGCCCGCGUCUGAUUAGCUGGUUGGCAGGGUAACGGCCUACCAAGGCAACGAUCAGUAGCCGGUCUGAGAGGAUGAACGGCCACAUUGGAACUGAGACACGGUCCAAACUCCUACGGGAGGCAGCAGUGGGGAAUAUUGCACAAUGGGGGAAACCCUGAUGCAGCAACGCCGCGUGAGUGAAGAAGUAUUUCGGUAUGUAAAGCUCUAUCAGCAGGGAAGAUAAUGACGGUACCUGACUAAGAAGCUCCGGCUAAAUACGUGCCAGCAGCCGCGGUAAUACGUAUGGAGCAAGCGUUAUCCGGAUUUACUGGGUGUAAAGGGUGCGUAGGUGGCAGUGCAAGUCAGAUGUGAAAGGCCGGGGCUCAACCCCGGAGCUGCAUUUGAAACUGCUCGGCUAGAGUACAGGAGAGGCAGGCGGAAUUCCUAGUGUAGCGGUGAAAUGCGUAGAUAUUAGGAGGAACACCAGUGGCGAAGGCGGCCUGCUGGACUGUUACUGACACUGAGGCACGAAAGCGUGGGGAGCAAACAGGAUUAGAUACCCUGGUAGUCCACGCCGUAAACGA
rnacentral:rRNA from 1 species